AAAACAUCGCACGAUAAACCGCGUCGUCAUUUUCAAUACAAAAUUGUGCGCUUCUUGCGAUUUCAGGUGCGACGUCCCCAGGGAAUCCAAAAUACCGUGGAAAAAGGGGGUUCAAACCCAAGAAGGAACGGAAUAAAGAAGACUCGCUUGCGUUUAAUCCACAUUUACAAAGAUUUUAUUCAUAAUUCUCGACGAAGUCAAUAGAGUUUUGAAUUACCUGAAACCUGCUUCGGAUUAUUAGUCCGGCAACGAAGUCCGAGGAAACGAAGCGGGAGGAAAAUACAAGUUGCCAAGAAAAUAAAAUCUUCAAGGAAACGCGACCGUCACCCGCGAACUUCGACUAGGAAAAUUGGAGCGAAAGAUUUUCCAUUUGGUAUGGGUGAGCGUACCGCACAUCCGGCAGCGGGAGCUUUCGUUUUAUCGAUAGAGAAGUAUUAUUUUAUUAUAGGGGGAUAAAAUCGAUCGCAUUGUAACAGAAAUGGGCAUAAUAUGAGCGGAAAAGACUCUGACAGGACUCUUAAUCGUUUUAGGGGGCAUCCUGCUCUUUCCAACGUCGAACCUAUAGGUAAAUAUGGAGACAAAAAGUCGUCGUCAAUUAUGCGGGACAGAGAAGUGGAAAAUGAAGAGAAAAGGGAACGAAAAUUGAUAGGAAUAGACGGAGGAAUGGAAAUGGGACGUACAUUGAUAUUGUAAAACCUGAGAGUAUUUUAUUGUUGAGAAGCUGAAUAGAAUAUCACAACGUGGACCUAUAAUAGUGGCCAGAGCUGCACAUCCGUAGAAGAAGAAGAACGGACGCAAUUUAUAACCCGUAAAAUAGAUUUUUCUAUCUCCUUUCGGAUACGAUCCACACGAAACUUACAUCUACAUAUACAUAUGUCGUAACGGUUUUCGUUACUUCCGAGGCCACCCGGUGCACCGCAGCUUUGUAAAAAUAAAGCUAGUUCCCUCGAAGGACGCGAUUCUCUGGUCCUUAUUUUAAAAUACUUUUGCGACUCGGAGACCGGAAGCAGCGUAUGACCACACAUCUCAUUAUUCCAGGGAAAAAAUUCUUAUCGCCAUGGUCGAGUUUCUUUUACUUUACUCAAAAAAUUAUUUCAUCUCAUCUCACUCUCCAGUCGUUUGCUUUCUUCGUCUCACCGUUUAUUGUGGUUAAACUAAAAAGUCAAGUUUCAGAGCUCGUUAUUAUUAUUUUUUCUCCUCUUUUUCCAGAUAAAAUUUCUUCCUGCGGGUUCCGCAGCUGUGCGACUGCAGACUGCGUAAAGCGAAUGAAAUUUUGUGGCAGAUUCCCGCAUGACGUAUCGUGUUCUUUACUUCCGUUCCUUUGUUUGCUCCAAACACGUGGAGGAUAAUAAAAUAGAAAAGAGAAAGAAAAAAGAUCGGUGGAAAGAAGUAUAUGCACAUAUUGGCUGUAUACUUCCGAUUACUUCCCACCUCAGAUAUGCUUCAAACUUGCGAAAAAAGACUCGAGGCUGAAAAAUAGGAAUUCGGAGGUCUGGAGGAGAAAAGGAGGAAAUGAAAGGGAAGAAUUUGGGCAAGGUCGCUCCGAUGGCGGUGCGACUGAACAUCGAUUGUUAACGAGUCAAGGAUUUUCUCGCCGUACACAUAGUUACGCCAUGGAAAGUCAUUGCCACCGGAGUUUCGUAGUUUGAUCGGCGUCACGCGUCGCCGAAUACCCCCGCCCCGCCCCCGCCCCCGCCCCCGCCUGGGUGUAAUUGGAUUUUUAUCGUUAUUGCGAAAAUCGUUAGUCCGCUGAUUUUCAAGGUCAAAUAUACCCGCGUUCGCUCCGCAACGCCAGCGGACAACAGGUGACGCGCGAUGUCCCCCGCGUGUACUCACAAAGCGAUUCUGAUUCUGUGAGUCAUGGAAAACCUAACGGUACGCAGGUCUGUGCGCGUUUGAAAAAAGAAAUUGGAGAGAAAAAAAAAGAAAUUGAAUUAAAAAACGCCGUCCCAUCGCCGGUGCUCGUGUUAUCGUUGAAAUUAUUGUUAUCGCGUUAGCGUGGAGACGAGUGACGUUAGCUAGAGAUGGAAAUCAUAAUCGCGCCCGGAUCACGUGGGACGCGGUCUUCGACAUUUUUUAAUUUCUUUAUAUUUCCUACAGCCAGCUCCUACGGACACGCGGCUCGCUCUCGUGAGUUUCUUCAACUCCCUCGUCAUAUUUAUACAUAUGUAUACAUAUGUAUGUGUAUACCACAUGGAAACGCAUCGUUUUAAUUCCCUUUCGAGAUCCUCUUACCGCAUCCAUUUUAUGAAACGCGAUUACGUUGAUAUAUUUCAACGAAUAAUAUAAUGGUCGUUCUUCACCGCUGGUUAUUUGGAGGGAUAAAAAUUCCCGACUAAUUUUCUUACUUUCUUUCUCUCUUCUGUUUCAUCUUUCUUGUCCCGGUUAUCUGUGGGGUAUUCCAUGCCAAAUCGACCACUUUUCAAACCGACCCCUUUAGAUUUAACUGACAAUGAAAGUUUUCUGUUCUUUUCUACCCUUUGCAAGAAAAAGAAAUUGUCAAAUUUUCUAAAAUAAAAAGAAAACAUUUUGUUUUCAUUUUCGUAAACUCUAUUUCUACCAUAAAAUAAAUCUUAUUCAACUAUUUUAUGAUAGAAAUAAAGUUUACAAAAAAAAAAAAACACAUUUGACAAUUUUUUUUUCAAUUAAAUUAAAAAAAAAUAUUAAAAAAAAAUCGGCCCACUCCGGGAUGAGUGGGAUAGUUGUCAAAUUGAUUGAAGUUUUUUUUUAGAAAAAAAAAAAACUUCUAAACUGUGGCAAACUUUGAAAAAAUAACGAUUUUGCUCAAGAAAAAAAAAGAUUAUUUUAUAGAAUUGAUCAUAAUUAAUUGUUUUCUGUGUAUUUUUCCGAAAAUUUCAUUCAAAAACCAAAAUAACCAAACGACAAUUUCUAAAAAAGUUACGGCUAUUUUAAAAUGAAAAAAGCGAUCGUUCAGAAAAAUUCAUAACUUCUUUUGGGUUAGAUAAAAAGAAUUCUCGAAAAUUCUCAAAAAUGUCUUUGAAAGGGUAGAAAAGAACAGAAAAGUUUCAGCUGAAUCUGAAGGGGUCUGGUUGAAAAGUGGUCGAUUUGGCGUGGAAUACCCCCUAUGUACUCGUGUGCACGUAGACGGCGUACGUGACGUAUUUUACGUUGCUUAGUGUAACAAAGUCGGAGGGACGCGUGUGUAGCGCGAAUUUACCGUAUAGUUAAUUCGUUGAACCGAAAAGCGGAUAUGCCAUCGCGGGGAGUUAAUCACCGGUUAUAGUUACACGUCGUCGUUGACGGCUGCCUCUGCUUCUCCUCUACCGAUCGAGGUGACGCCGUUCGCGGUCCGGUAUCUAGGUUAGGGUGCCCGUCGUACACUCUACGGGUGUGACAACCCGAUCGUCGUCCGCGUCAAAAACCUUCGACGACCAUGAAAAUUGUCGCGACGACGUUUCCGGCUAAAAACGGAAGCUAAAAACCGACCAACUCCAUCGACUCUUAUCUCGCUUCUUUUGACCGUAAUUACACAACGACGAUAUGAUGCAUAUGGCGGAUUUGGGGUAGGCGAGCGGGAGGAGAGGAAGGUAGAGGAAAAAACUGAUUGUGAGGGAGAUGAAAGGGAAAGAGGAGAAAAAGCGUGAAAAACCGUGUCAGCACGUGUCUACCAAGAGAGGAAUUACCACAAAGCACAGCGAACAUGGGGUGAAUCAACUAUGCCAUUCAAACAUGAUACAAACUGACUUUGUCACUCAUUAGAAGAACUAGAUCUCUGAACCCCUCUGAAGAUAAUUUAAAUAACAAUACGCUGGGAUGAUGGAGUUGGUCUUUGGCGUGUCCGGUUCUGCUGAUUCUGUUGAUGUAUUUAUUCUUCAAGGGAGUAAUUGUCGUAGGUGGGAAAUUGGCAGCUCCAGAGAAUCUCUUUCCUGCAUUGAGGAAUCAAGACUCAUCGGUGCAUCUGUAUGAUUGUUCAUUAGUGCACCGAAUAAAAAUCCAUAUAUUAUUCAUAAUGUAGAUAUAGAUCAUGUAUAUACUUUCUAAAUUAAUUUAAAUUGUCAUCAGAUAAGAAACCUCUAUGAAUUUUCAUUGUAACACAUUUGCUGUGAAAGAAUAGUUUUCUAUCCGAAUAAAUCCAUAUUAUUCCUAA